rnacentral:rRNA from 1 species
CCUACGGGAGGCAGCAGUGAGGAAUAUUGGUCAAUGGACGGAAGUCUGAACCAGCCAAGCCGCGUGCAGGAAGACGGCUCUAUGAGUUGUAAACUGCUUUUGUACAAGGGUAAACCUGUCUACGUGUAUUCAGCUGAAAGUACUGUACGAAUCAGGAUCGGCCAACUCCGUGCCCGGAGCCGCGGUUAUACGGAGGAUUGAAGCGUUUUCCGGAUUUUUUGGGUGUUAAGGGUGCGUAGGCGGAUUGAAAAGUUAGAGGGGAAAAGUUCGAGCUUAAAUCGGGUACUGCCUCUAAUACUGUUGAUCUAGAGAGUAGGUGCGGUAGGCGGAAUGUAUGGUGUAGCGGUGAAAUGCUUAGAGAUCAUACAGAACACCGAUUGCGAAGGCAGCAUACCAGUCUAUAUCUGACGUUGAGGCACGAAAGCGUGGGUAGCAAACAGGAUUAGAUACCCUGGUAGUC